UACGUAGGGUGCGGGCGUUAAUCGGAAUUACUGGGCGUAAAGCGUGCGCAGGCGGUUUUGUAAGUCAGAUGUGAAAUCCCCGGGCUUAACCUGGGAACUGCGUUUGAAACUACAAGGCUAGAGUGUGGCAGAGGGGGGUGGAAUUCCACGUGUAGCAGUGAAAUGCGUAGAGAUGUGGAGGAACACCGAUGGCGAAGGCAGCCCCCUGGGUUAACACUGACGCUCAGGCACGAAAGCGUGGGGAGCAAACAGG
rnacentral:rRNA from 1 species